GGUGCCAGCAGCCGCGAUAAUUCCAGCUCCAAUAGCGUAUAUUAAAGUUGUUGCAGUUAAAACGCUCGUAGUCGGAUUUCGGGGCGGUCCCGCCGGUCUGCCGAUGGGUACGCACUGGCGGGCGCGUCCUUCCUCCCGGAGACGGCCGCUACUCUUAACUGAGCGGUGGUCGGAGACGGGAUGUUUACUUUGAAAAAAUCAGAGUGUUUCAAGCAGGCAGUCGCUCUUGCAUGGAUUAGCAUGGGAUAAUGAAAUAGGACUCUGGUGCUAUUUUGUUGGUUUCGAGCACCGGAGUAAUGAUUAACAGGGACAGUCAGGGGCACUCGUAUUCCGCCGAGAGAGGUGAAAUUCUCAGACCAGCGGAAGACGAACGACUGCGAAAGCAUUUGCCAGGGAUGUUUUCACUGAUCAAGAACGAAAGUUAGGGGAU
rnacentral:rRNA from 1 species